GAGAAAUUGUAAAAUGAGGAACAGAAAUGAAGACACGGAGGAGACCAAUAGGCAAAGCAAGACUUCCUGGGGUAUACUGAGAGAAGGCAGGAAACAAACGAACGUCCGUGCUCUCUUCUCGGCAUUUGUCCGUUGAGGGUUUGCCUGUUCAGUUUGCUGUUUUAUUUUGUCUAACCUGCUCCCUGUAAGAAACACGGUGAAGGAAGAGUGUUUAAGAGUUUACAACACAAACCACUGAACUCCGGGCUCUCUCUAUUGAAGAUGCGGUAACGCUCCACAUGCGUGUACUAGUAGCAUGGGCUUAUAUGGAGUUCUUUCCUUCCUGAUUGGCCUCCACGAGGGAUUUUCCAGAUCUGUAGAAUGGUUGCAUCACACACCCAUCGGAACGAUCACGUAUGCAGGCAAUUGGUUUGCCCAAGCAGAACGAAGCCACUUGAGUCUAACUGGUUGAUCAUGGCGUUCCCAGCAUUUACGGCAGCGCCCAAUACUUAGAUGAUGUCCGAGAAGCCCGGAUAUAAAUGAACACCAAGUCCAGAGAGAACCAGGUUUGCGCAUCAGCCCUAAAGCCCUGUGCUGUACCCUCCUUCCCUGCUGUUUAGCCACCCAGGAUACCGAAUACUGUUCCGGUUUACCAAGGGAAGCCUUUUUAAAAGGUU